rnacentral:rRNA from 1 species
AGAGUUUGAUCAUGGCUCAGAAUGAACGUUGGCGGCGUGGAUUAGGCAUGCAAGUCGAACGGGCCGCAAGGCCAGUGGCGCAAGGGUGAGUAAGGCGACGGUAACCAACCCCAGGAUUGGGUAUAGCCGCGGGAAACCGCGGGUAAUCCCCAGCGACGCAACGACCCCGGCAUCGGGGUCUUGCCAAAGCUUCGGCGUCCUGGGACGGGCUGUCGUGGUAUUAGCUUGUUGGCGGGGUAACGGCCCACCAAGGCUCUGAUGCCUACCGGGCGUGCGAGCGUGGCCCGGCACACUGGGACUGAGACACUGCCCAGACUCCUACGGGAGGCUGCAGUCGAGAAUCUUCGGCAAUGGGCGCAAGCCUGACCGAGCGACGCCGCGUGGAGGAUGAAGGCCUUCGGGUUGUAAACUCCUGUCGAGGGGGAAAAAGGGCCGCAAGGCCUUGAUUGAUCCCUGGAGGAAGCACGGGCUAAGUUCGUGCCAGCAGCCGCGGUAAGACGAACCGUGCGAACGUUAUUCGGAAUCAUUGGGCUUAAAGCGCGUGUAGGCGGAUUCGUGCGUCUGUCGCUGAAAUCCCCCGGCUCAACCGGGGAACGGGCGCGGAUACGACGAGUCUGGAGGGGCAUAGGGGGACCUGGAACUUCCGGUGGAGCGGUGAAAUGCGUUGAGAUCGGAAGGAACGCCCGUGGCGAAAGCGAGGUCCUGGAUGCCUACUGACGCUGAGACGCGAAAGCCAGGGGAGCGAACGGGAUUAGAUACCCCAGUAGUCC